rnacentral:lncRNA from 1 species
UUGUGUUCGAGUUUUUCAGUUCAUGCCCAUCUUGGUUAGAUCUCUCAUUCGGAUUUCACAAGAUUAUAUCACUAUUUUUAGUCUUAUUCGCUACUAAGUUAAACGGCUAAAAUACCAAUUACUUUUUCCAUGUUUUUAUUUUGUCAUAAAACCAAUUAAGAGGUAUUAUAUUUUGUUAUCACAUUUUUUAAUACCUGAACCAUCCAUAUAUUAAAAUGAUAUUUACAUCUUUAGCAAAAAUAAUAAUAAUACUACUUUCAAUUUCUUUAACCGAAGAUUACUUGUAUCAGUUGUACAUAUACUUUUCAUGAUAUGGUAAUUAGAAAAUAUUAUGAACAAAUUAGUUCCUCAAGGCUUAACGCAUCAGAUGUAACUAUAAC